GCCGGGGUAGCUCAGGUGGUAGAGCAGGGGACUGAAAAUCCCCGUGUCGGCGGUUCGAGUCCGUCCCCCGGCACCA
rnacentral:tRNA from 1 species